rnacentral:rRNA from 1 species
GGUUUAGAGUUUGAUCAUGGCUCAGGAUGAACGCUGGCGGUUUGCCUAACACAUGCAAGUCGAGCGAAGCACUUUACUUUGAUUCUUCGGAUGAAGAGUUUUGUGACUGAGCGGCGGACGGGUGAGUAACGCGUGGGUAACCUGCCUCAUACAGGGGGAUAACAGUUAGAAAUGACUGCUAAUACCGCAUAAGACCACAGCACCGCAUGGUGCAGGGGUAAAAACUCCGGUGGUAUGAGAUGGACCCGCGUCUGAUUAGCUAGUUGGUAAGGUAACGGCUUACCAAGGCGACGAUCAGUAGCCGACCUGAGAGGGAGACCGGCCACAUUGGGACUGAGACACGGCCCUAACUCCUACGGGAGGCAGCAGUGGGGAAUAUUGCACAAUGGGGGAAACCCUGAUGCAGCGACGCCGCGUGAGCGAUGAAGUAUUUCGGUAUGUAAAGCUCUAUCAGCAGGGAAGAAACUGACGGUACCUGACUAAGAAGCACCGGCUUAUUACGUGCCAUCAGCCGCGGUAUUUC